AAGAGAUGGCGACCGGCGCACGGGUGAGUAACACGUAUCCAACCUGCCGAUAACUCCGGAAUAGCCUUUCGAAAGAAAGAUUAAUACCGGAUGGCAUACGAAUAUCGCAUGAUAUUUUUAUUAAAGAAUUUCGGUUAUCGAUGGGGAUGCGUUCCAUUAGUUUGUUGGCGGGGUAACGGCCCACCAAGACAACGAUGGAUAGGGGUUCUGAGAGGAAGGUCCCCCACAUUGGAACUGAGACACGGUCCAA
rnacentral:rRNA from 1 species